AAUUCUUUCCAUAUCUUUGUCACCGCUUCUCUAAGUAUACUAAAUCCCUUGUUUUGUAUAGUUAAGGCCGAGAUCCCUGUCCCUGUUCCGAUGGCCCCGAGUCCGAAUAUGGUGGCUAGUGUUAGAGCCCCUGCAGUAAUGAGUGCUCUCUUAGUUACUCUUUUGGGUGCUAUCCCAUCUGGAGAUCGGAGGAGC